rnacentral:misc_RNA from 1 species
GAUGAAGAACGCAGCGAAAUGCGAUAAGUAAUGUGAAUUGCAGAAUUCAGUGAAUCAUCGAAUCUUUGAACGCACAUUGCGCCCGCCAGUAUUCUGGCGGGCAUGCCUGUUCGAGCGUCAUUUCAACCAUCAAGCCCCAGGCUUGUGUUGGGGACCUGCGGCUGCCGCAGGCCCUGAAAACCAGUGGCGGGCUCGCUGUCACACCGGGCGUAGUAGAUUUUAUCUCGCUCAGGGCGUGCUGCGGGUUCCGGCUGUUAAAAAGCCUUUUUUACCCAAGGUUGACCUCGGAUCAGGUAGGAAGACCCGCUGAACUUAAGCAUAUCAAUAAGCGGAGGA